CGGAGUGAGAGCGUACACAGGUGCUGCAUGGCUGUCGUCAGCUCGUGUCGUGAGAUGUUGGGUUAAGUCCCGCAACGAGCGCAACCCUGCAUUCAGUUGCCAUCGGUAAGGCCGGGCACUCUGGAUGGACUGCCGGCGACAAGCCGGAGGAAGGUGGGGACGACGUCAAGUCAUCAUGGCCCUUAUGUCCAGGGCGACACACGUGCUACAAUGGCCGGCACAACGGGAAGCGAAGGGGCGACCCUGAGCGGAUCCCACAAAAGCCGGUCCCAGUUCGGAUUGCAGUCUGCAACUCGACUGCAUGAAGUUGGAAUCGCUAGUAAUCGUGGAUCAGCCAAGCCGCGGUGAAUACGUUCCCGGGCCUU
rnacentral:rRNA from 1 species